CAGAGGGGGCAAGCGUUGUUCGGAAUUACUGGGCGUAAAGGGCGCGUAGGCGGCCUGCUAAGUCGAACGUGAAAUCCCUGGGCUCAACCCAGGAACUGCGUCCGAUACUGGUUGGCUUGAAUCCGGGGAGAGGGAUGCGGAAUUCCAGGUGUAGCGGUGAAAUGCGUAGAUAUCUGGAGGAACACCGGUGGCGAAGGCGGCAUCCUGGACCGGCAUUGACGCCGAGGCGACGAAAGCCAGGGGAGCAAACGGGGAUUAGAUACCCCGGUAGUCCUGGCCCUAAACGAUGAAUGCUUGGUGUGGUGGGUAUCGAUCCCUACCGUGCCGAAGCUAACGCAUUAAGCAUUCCGCCUGGGGAGUACGGUCGCAAGGCUG
rnacentral:rRNA from 1 species